CCUACGGUGUGCAGCAGUGAGGAAUAUUGGUCAAUGGGCGCGAGCCUGAACCAGCCAAGUAGCGUGAAGGAUGACUGCCCUACGGGUUGUAAACUUCUUUUAUAAAGGAAUAAAGUGAGGCACUUGUGCCUUUUUGUAUGUACUUUAUGAAUAAGGAUCGGCUAACUCCGUUCCAGCAGCCGCGGUAAUACGGAGGAUCCGGGCGUUAUCCGGAUUUAUUGGGUUUAAAGGGAGCGUAGAUGGGUUGUUAAGUCAGUUGUGAAAGUUUGCGGCUCAACCGUAAAAGUGAAAUUGAUACUGGCAGUCUUGAGUACAGGUGAGGUAGGCGGAAUUCGUGGUGUAGCGGUGAAAUGCUUAGAUAUCACGAAGAACCCCGAUUGCGAAGGCAGCUUACUAAACUGCCACUGACAUUGAUGCUCGAAAGUGUGGGUAUCAAACAGGAUUAGAUACCCCGGUAGUC
rnacentral:rRNA from 1 species